UUUAUUUGAUAGUACCUUACUACUUGGAUAACCGUGGUAAUUCUAGAGCUAAUACAUGCUAAAAAUCCCGACUUCGGAAGGGAUGUAUUUAUUAGAUUAAAAACCAAUGCCCUCUGGGCUCCUUGGUGAUUCAUGAUAACUCUUCGAAUCGCACGGCCUUGCGCCGGCGAUGGUUCAUUCAAAUUUCUUCCCUAUCAACUUUCGAUGUUUGGGUAUUGGCCAAACAUGGUUGCAACGGGUAACGGAGGGUUAGGGCUCGACCCCGGAGAAGGAGCCUGAGAAACGGCUACUACAUCCAAGGAAGGCAGCAGGCGCGCAAAUUACCCAAUCCCGAUUCGGGGAGGUAGUGACAAUAAAUACUGAUACAGGGCUCUUUUGGGUCUUGUAAUUGGAAUGAGUACAAUUUAAAUCCCUUAACGAGGAACAAUUGGAGGGCAAGUCUGGUGCCAGCAGCCGCGGUAAUUCCAGCUCCAAUAGCGUAUAUUAAAGUUGUUGUGGUUAAAAAGCUCGUAGUUGAACCUUGGGCCUGGCUGGCCGGUCCGCCUCACCGCGUGCACUGGUCCGGCCGGGCCUUUCCCUCUGUGGAACCCCAUGCCCUUCACUGGGCGUGGCGGGGAAACAGGACGUUUACUUUGAAAAAAUUAGAGUGCUCCAGGCAGGCCUAUGCUCGAAUACAUUAGCAUGGAAUAAUGAAAUAGGACGCGUGGUUCUAUUUUGUUGGUUUCUAGGACCGCCGUAAUGAUUAAUAGGGACAGUCGGGGGCAUCAGUAUUCAAUUGUCAGAGGUGAAAUUCUUGGAUUUAUUGAAGACUAACUACUGCGAAAGCAUUUGCCAAGGAUGUUUUCAUUAAUCAGGAACGAAAGUUAGGGGAUCGAAGACGAUCAGAUACCGUCGUAGUCUUAACCAUAAACUAUGCCGACUAGGGAUCGGACGAUGUUA
rnacentral:rRNA from 1 species